CAAAGAUUGAAUGAUAAUGGAAGCGAUUCACCCGUGAAAUCUAUAUCAUCAUAUCAGUCUGUCAAUGUCCAUAUUACGAGAAUGCCUCGAUGAUAACUCCGGCGUCUCUUUUGUGUUGAGUCAAUGAAUAGAACUCUACGGCUCACCCAAAAAUUUCCAAUUGAUUGCUCUUAAUUUAUGACGCGAUGAAUUCUGUAACGCAAGCCACGGAGCCAGCGUCCUGAAAAGAGAAGGCAAUGGCUCAACUGGUACGGCCACUCUGGCAGUGGCCGAGGUUCCACCAUCACCGCGCCGUCAUCUCUCCCCCCUCUCCCUUGUAUCCUUCACCCUUUGGAACGACGUCGCUGUCAUCAUCUUCAUCAUCCUGACCACUAUCUGUUCCAGGCAGUGGUCCCUUCAGCACACCGCGACGUCCGCUACCAGCCGCGCGGGGCUCAGAUUCCCCAACUGCCCGCCGCCGUACAAUCCCUGAGAAGAGAACGGCAGCGACUCCUCCUCCGACGCCAAGAAGAGCCACGUCCAGAAGAAGCGCGAGGCUCGGCGCGCCGUCCACUGGGGCAUGGAGCUCACUUCUUUCUCCAAUUCCCAUAUCAAGCGCAUCCUCGGGUACUACCGGGGAAAAGAAUGUAACCACCAGAUGUCGCGAUUUGGAGCUUUCACGGGCUUCAUGGAGUGGCCCAAUAGCGUAGCAUUACAGAUUGAUCCUUGCCUUUGGAAUGGGGAAUUGCAGAGUGGCUUCAAUGGAGCAAGAGGUGUUGGACGCUCUGAUGCUUGCGGGAGACUGGGACCCGAUGUUCGAGAAGAAAAGCGAGGGCAGUUCGAUUAAAUCGGUAAUAUCACAUUUCGUUCCUGCAUUUGUGAGUGCGUGCGCGCGCCCCUGGGAGAAUUUAUUUACCUUUCUUGCCGGUUCACCUCUUAUCUUGUUUGCCAUGCUUGGCUAUUGCCAAGUGAGUUCUCGGGGUGCAAAAUAGUUCUUGGACGAAGAAGCUCUUCUCUUGCCGCUUUUUCUUCGUUAGAUUGAACAUGAUUAUUUGAGCUUGUAAUUUUGAAAUGCUUGGAUGGUACUUACGGUAUAGCUCCUUCAGCAUAUAUUGAUGUAAGAUAAGCAACUGCUAAUGCUGUGGCUCGAGAAAGGCCUGUAUGAAUUCUCCAGCUGUGCCAAAAAUCUGAAAUUUUGCUUGCUUGUUGAA